GCUAACUGUCCAACCAAAACCAAAUCGCGCGAAGUCCACCCCUUUAUUCUCCGAUCCAAAUUGAUAUUCGCCUUCAAGUACGAAUCGAUCUAGGUCUUACUGCGACACAAAUCAAUCGUACAAAUCUCCUCUCGCUGAGCGGGAAGGCUUGAAGGCGGAUAGAAAGGGGAUCGGCAGAAAGGCGGCGACGGACUGCGAGGAGCGGGAAGGCGGCAACGGAGAGGGGAGCGGCGGCAUUGCAGACAACACAGAAAGUAGAAAAGGUCACGGUAGGAGGGCUUGAAGUCCUAUGCUAGUGUCCCCUGCUCCUCCGGCUGCCACUCUGGCCUGCCCGUUGUCGGCGCGCUGCUCCUCUGGUCGCCCCUCUUCUCUCUCGUCGUGUAGGACGGGAAGACUGACCUCCGAGGUUUGGCGGAUAAUGAAAAAGUAACCGACCUGAAAAUGUGUAGCCUAGUUGAAGUGACAAGUUCAUUACUCCUAUUUGCUAUUUUUUCUUUUAUGUCCAUAUACUUUAUAAUUCGGACAAGAAGGUUUGUAUGUGUGACUGUCCUAAAGUGUCAAUACUUGAUUACAAAUAUGUUGGUGCUGGUUAUUCUAUUUCCAACACAUUA